CGAAGCACUCCGACUCGCAUUCCAAGCAGACUCGGUGAACCGGGUUCAUUAUUUUCUCGUUAUAAGUUUCUACAACUCCGGCUUGUUGUCGUAACGUUGUUAACGGGACGCGCCGCGAAUUGUUAAACGGCGCCGUUCGCGGCGCCCUCUGUGCUUCGUUGUCACGAACGCGCCACUUUUUAAUUUAUUAAUAAACAGCCACUGUUUUAGAGGGUCCACGUGGAAACGGCUGUAGGUGGCAUGACCUUUUACGAGCUCCCUAACCUCUGGGAUUAUUGAAAAGUAUCGUUUAAUGCCGUUCCUAGCUGUUACGGUUGAUUCACUUCCACGAGGCCGAAAUACUGGCUGACACCGACCUAUCACACAACGCACUUCUGCCAGGGAACAAGAGUCUUGGCAAUUUCGUGGGAAACCCACACCAGGCGACAUUAAAAUAGCAUUUGCUUUCUCAUUCGUCGUGUACGUCAUCUGUACUCAGCGUGGAUAUGCUCACCUAACGACACUCGGCGUAACUGUCAGCCUCUGGGUGAUUCACAGUGCGGCAUUGCUUGAGAUAGACGGUAUACCAGAAGACAAUGUCCGCAUAGGAUAUAUAACCUCCUAGCUGGUGAAACACGUAUCAGGAUUGUGAAUGGAGAUUUGGAAUUUUUUUCUGGAAAUAUGUCAGGAUUGCCAGACGAGUAAAUGGCUCUGUGGAAAGUAAAAGCAGCUAGAGCAAAUGGACGAGCUCUCAAUUUCGUCCCAAAAGUCCUGCAGGAUGAGAUUCUUGAUUCCUGGAUUUUGCACAAAGGUGUGAACACUCGUCUGGGUUUUAUCCAUCCGGAGCGUCUCGAUUUCAUCGAUUUGACUGGAGAAUCCGGGUACGAGGAUUUCUAGGGGAUCGACUGGCUAUUCGCACGUUAUCGACAUUGCAAAUGCAUCUGGUGGUGGCUCGACAUGGAUGCUACUGCACAGGACGUAAGCGUAAC